rnacentral:rRNA from 1 species
UUUAAAGAAAGCGUAACAGCUCACUGGUCUAAAUAAGGGUUCCUGCGGCGAAAAUGUAACGGGGCUCAAGACGUGCACCGAAGCUUAGGGUGUGUAGCAAUACACGCGGUAGCGGAGCGUUCCGUAGGCUGAUGAAGCGGUCUGGUAAUGGACCGUGGAGGUAUCGGAAGUGCGAAUGCUGACAUGAGUAGCGAUAAAGAGGGUGAGAUGCCCUCUCGCCGAAAUCCCAAGGGUUCCUGCUUAAAGCUAAUCUGAGCAGGGUAAGCCGGCCCCUAAGACGAGCCCGAAGGGGGUAGUCGAUGGGAACCACGUUAAUAUUCGUGGGCCUGGUGGUGUGUGACGGUUUGCGUAAGUUGUCUGUCCUUAUUGGAUUGGUCAGGCUUCGAAGCAGAUCCAGGAAAUAGCCCCACCGUAUAGACCGUACCCUAAACCGACACAGGUGGGAUGGUAGAGUAUACCAAGGCGCUUGAGAGAAGUCUCCUGAAGGAACUCGGCAAAUUGCCUCCGUACCUUCGGAAGAAGGAGGCCCCACAUUUGGGCAACCAUUUGUGGGGGGCACAGGCCAGGGGGUAGCGACUGUUUAGCAAAAACACAGCACUCUGCUAAGUCGGCUUCAAGACGACGUAUAGGGUGUGACGCCUGCCCGGUGCCUGAAGGUUAAGUGGAGGGGUGCAAGCUCCGAAACGAAGCCCAGGUAAACGGCGGCCGUAACAAUAACGGUCCUAAGGUAGCGAAAUUCCUUGUCAGGUAAGUUCUGACCCGCACGAAAGGCGUAACGAUCUGGGCACUGUCUCAGAGAGAGACUCGGUGAAAUAGACAUGUCUGUGAAGAUGCGGACUACCUGCACCAGGACAGAAAGACCCUAUGAAGCUUUACUGUAGCCUGAUAUUGGGUUUGGGCUUUUCUUGCGCAGUAUAGGUGGGAGGCUAUGAAGCUAUCCUUGUGGGGAUAGCUGAGCUAUCAGUGAGAUACCACUCUGGAAAAGCUAAAAUUCUAACUUUAAGCCGUUAUCCGGAUAAAGAACAGUUUCAGGUGGGCAGUUUGACUGGGGCGGUCGCCUCCUAAAAAGUAACGG